UUGAGGUGAAGUUCUGUUAUACACUCUGACUGUGGCUAUGUGGAAGUCAGUGCAUCACAGAACUUUGUCUCGAG
rfam:Anolis carolinensis chromosome 2, whole genome shotgun sequence.